CUUGGACUGUUAACUGGAACAGAUUCAAACAUGUGGCGGCGGCCAUCUUAAAUUGUCCAGCAGUGUUUUGUCGUAAAGUAUAUGCAACUGUUUUGGGCAUGGGACCAUGUGCACGUUGGGCAAAAAUAAGACUUCCAGGAAAUUCCUGAACCCCUGAACCGAUCUGGGUGAUUUUUGAAUAUGUUGUUCACCCAGAUUGGGACUAUAAGGGGAUGUGUUGUAUUUUGGGGUACUUUUUGGGGUUUGUAAAAAUGAAUGGUUUUUUUCUGCUUAGAGUUAAUUGAGUUAGUCCAUUGUCUUCGUUAAUUAACUUUUGUGAGGUUUUCAUGUGUUUUGGGGGUAUUUUUGAGGUUUUGUUAUACUGCAUGUUUCUGUACUGGGAGAUAAUUCAAUUAUAUGUUUGUGUGCUCAGGUAAUUAUCUCUCAGGCACAGAGGAGGAGGAUGAUAAAUGUUUGCUUGUAACUAGUAUCCUCUCAGGUCCAGUGGGGAAUGCCCGUGGAAUAUGUAUCAGGAAACCCCUUGCAUGGGGACUAACAUAAAAGGACGCCUGUGGCUCCCAUUAAAU